CGCACGGGUGCGUAACACGUAUAUAAUCUGCCCAUAACUGGGGGAUAGCCCGAAGAAAUUCGGAUUAAUACCCCAUAAUAUUAUUUGAAGGCAUCUUUAGAUAAUUAAAGCUCCGGCGGUUAUGGAUGAAUAUGCGACUGAUUAGCUAGUUGGUGAGGUAACGGCUCACCAAGGCAACGAUCAGUAGGGGUACUGAGAGGUUAAACCCCCACACUGGUACUGAGACACGGACCAG
rnacentral:rRNA from 1 species